rnacentral:rRNA from 1 species
AGCGCAGGCGGGAAGACAAGUUGGAAGUGAAAUCCAUGGGCUCAACCCAUGAACUGCUUUCAAAACUGUUUUUCUUGAGUAGUGCAGAGGUAGGCGGAAUUCCCGGUGUAGCGGUGGAAUGCGUAGAUAUCGGGAGGAACACCAGUGGCGAAGGCGGCCUACUGGGCACCAACUGACGCUGAGGCUCGAAAGUGUGGGUAGCGAACA